CUGCAUCAAGUUAAGCUAAGUUUCUUUUUUCAUGGGGCCUGGUGUACAGUGGCUGCAAACAGCAUCUUACUCAGGAGGCUGGCUGCUUCUAUGGGUUUCUCUGAACGACCUUAGAAACAGAA
ensembl:snoRNA SNORA70 Small nucleolar RNA SNORA70